UGGUUGAUCCUGCCAGUAGUGUAUGCUUCUCCUAAAGACUAAGCCAUGCAUGCCCCGAAUAUGAGGAAGCAAUUCUCUCUGAAUCUGCGAACGGCUCCGCAAACCAGUUGUAAACCACAGCAAGCCUGCAACGGUUGGACCUCGGUCUGGCCCGCGCGAUACGGAUAACCCUGGUAAUUCUAAGGCUAAUACGUGUAUGGAACACCCGGUGGACCGGCUUCGGCUGGGAAACCGGGAGACGAGUGAUGGAAUGUUUGGAUUACCAGGAACGGGCACUCGCCUUGACCGCGCUACAAAGGAUGAACCUUCGGGGGACUCCCAGCGGCUCUUGCGCGGUGCUUCUGACCUAUCAACUAGAUGGCAGCGUAACGGACAUGCUAUGGUAACAACGGGUACAGAGGAUUAGGGUUCGAUCCUGGAGAGUGGGCCUGAGAGAUUGCUCAUACUUCUAAGGAAGGCAGCAGGCGCGCAACGUUCCCCUUGGGCAAUGCUCGAGGGCGUUAGGGGACAUAUGAAUGCCCGCCCAUUGGGUGGGCAAUUCAAAUGGGUCUGUUGUAAACAGGCUCUCGAGUAACAAUUAGAGGACAAGUC
rnacentral:rRNA from 1 species